AUCGCUUCUCGGCCUUUUGGCUAAGAUCAUGUGUAGUAUAAGUUAAAUUGUUGAGCAUUCUCCUUGCAUCCAGUAACUCUUUUCACCCCUUUACCAAUAAACGCGAUCAUAUGGCCAAGUCAUACUUUUGUGAGAGGAGAGUUGCAUGUGCUCCUGAGUGUAGAGGCUGGAGCUCAACCCCG